UCGAUACGCUCAAAGUCAAAAUAAUCAGCGUGACAUUCAGAAGGGUAAUAAGAACGAACCAUAAAAAAGCCUCCAAGAUUUGGAGGCAUGAAAACAUACAAUUGGGAGGGUGUCAAUCCUGACGGUUAUUUCCUAGACAAAUUAGAGCCAAUACCAUCAGCUUUACCGUCUUUCCAGAAAUUGUUCCAAGUAUCGGCAACAGCUUUAUCAAUACCAUGAAAAAUAUCAACCACACCAGAAGCAGCAUCAGUGACGACAUUAGAAAUAUCCUUUGCAGUAGCGCCAAUAUGAGAAGAGCCAUACCGCUGAUUCUGCGUUUGCUGAUGAACUAAGUCAACCUCAGCACU
rnacentral:rRNA from 1 species